GUGGGGAAUCUUCCGCAAUGGACGAAAGUCUGACGGAGCAACGCCGCGUGAGUGAAGAAGGUUCUUGGAUCGUAAAGCUCUGUCUUCAGGGACGAAUGUUAUCUUUGUGAAUAAUGGAGGUAAAUGACGGUACCUGAGGAGGAAGCCACGGCUAACUACGUGCCAGCAGCCGCGGUAAUACGUAGGUGGCGAGCGUUGUCCGGAAUUAUUGGGCGUAAAGAGCGCGUAGGCGGGAUGAUAAGUCUGUUGUAAAAGUGCGGGGCUCAACCCCGUAAGGUCAAUGGAAACUGUCAUUCUUGAGUGCAGGAGAGGAAAGUGGAAUUCCCAGUGUAGCGGUGAAAUGCGUAGAUAUUGGGAGGAACACCAGUGGCGAAGGCGACUUUCUGGACUGUGUCUGACGCUGAGGCGCGAAAGCUAGGGGAGCGAACGGGAUUAGAAACCCCGGUAGUCC
rnacentral:rRNA from 1 species